AUUGAACGCUGGCGGCAUGCUUUACACAUGCAAGUCGAACGGUAACAGGGAGCUUGCUCCGCUGACGAGUGGCGAACGGGUGAGUAAUGCAUCGGAACGUACCCAGUCGUGGGGGAUAACGUAGCGAAAGUUACGCUAAUACCGCAUACGUCCUGAGGGAGAAAGCGGGGGACCGAAAGGCCUCGCGCGAUUGGAGCGGCCGAUGUCGGAUUAGCUAGUUGGUAGGGUAAAGGCCUACCAAGGCGACGAUCCGUAGCGGGUCUGAGAGGAUGAUCCGCCACACUGGGACUGAGACACGGCCCAGACUCCUACGGGAGGCAGCAGUGGGGAAUUUUGGACAAUGGGCGCAAGCCUGAUCCAGCCAUGCCGCGUGAGUGAAGAAGGCCUCGGUGUAAGACUCUUCAGGUGGAAGAAACGCAUGGGUCAAUACCCUGUGUGGAUGACGGUACC
rnacentral:rRNA from 1 species